rnacentral:rRNA from 1 species
AUGGAAUUGAGGUUGCCUCAUAUGCUUCAUCUUUAUCAUCUCUUUCGUGAAAAUAAGGAUUCCGAUAAUUAUGCCAAAGUGUUAGAACAAGAAUGCAUUAAAAUGUUUGGCACUAAAUCUUUGAAUGAUGAGCAUGAUUGCAAUGUUGUUAGUAUGAAUUCUUUGAAUAUCCAUGAUGCUAAUGAUAUACAAAGCCACAAGCUUGGGGAUGCUAUGUUUGAUGAAGAUGAUAUUUUUUGUCCCCCAAGUUUUGAUGGGCAAAUUUAUUAUGAUGAUAGCAUGCCUCCUAUCUAUGAUGAUUAUUGUGAUGACAUGGAUGCUAUAAAGAAUAGUUAUAACCAUGAAACUUGUCAUCAUGAUUUUAAUUUUCAAUUGGAUUAUGCCUCACAUGAUAGUUAUAUUGUUGAGUUUGCUCCCACUAUUCUGAAUGAGAAGAAUUUUGCUUAUGUGGAGAGUAGUAAAAUUUAUAUGCUUGUGCAUCAUGAGAAUAAUGCUUUAUGUAAUAGCUAUAUUGUUGAAUUCAUUCAUGAUGCUACUGAAAAUUAUUAUGAGGGAGGAAUAUAUGCUUGUAGGAGUUGCAAUAAUAUCAAGUUUCCUCUCUAUGUGUUGAAAAUCUUGAAGUUAUGCUUGUUUUGCCUUCCUAUCCUAGUUGAUUGUUGCUCCCAUAAGUUUUUUGCUCACAAAAUCCCUAUGCAUAGGAAGUGGGUUAGGCUUAAAUGUUCUUUUUAUAUGUUUCAUGAUGCUCUCUUUAUGUUUCAAUUCUUAUCUUUUAUGUGA